AACGAACGCUAUCGGUAUGCUUAACACAUGCAAGUCGGACGGACUAAUUAGGGCUUGCUCCAAUUAGUUAGUGGCAGACGGGUGAGUAACACGUGGGAAUCUGCCCAUCAGUACGGAAUAACUUUUAGAAAUAAAAGCUAAUACCGUAUAUUCUCUACAGAGGAAAGAUUUAUCGCUGAUGGAUGAGCCCGCGUCAGAUUAGGUAGUUGGUGAGGUAACGGCUCACCAAGCCGACGAUCUGUAGCUGGUCUGAGAGGAUGAUCAGCCACACUGGGACUGAGACACGGCCCAGACUCCUACGGGAGGCAGCAGUGGGGAAUAUUGGACAAUGGGCGAAAGCAUGAUCCAGCAAUACCGAGUGAGUGAUAAAGGCCCUAGGGUUGUAAAGCUCUUUUAGCAAGGAAGAUAAUGACGUUACUUGCAGAAAAAGCCCCGGCUAACUCCGUG
rnacentral:rRNA from 1 species